ensembl:lncRNA
CCUCUUUGAUGAAGCUUUUCCCUGUAAACCUCAACUUUUCUGAUACAGAUCUUUAUAAUUAAAAGAAGCAGCAUGUGGAAAGCUAAAAGCCAUGUAAUCCCUGCAACCCAGCGGAAGUUACAGGAAACUAAGACUGGAGUAUGAUAACAGCAUAACUGGUGCAUGUGGUCCUGGGCUGUAUGCCAAAACAAAGAGGAGAGUGCGGGCAGGGGAAAGUAGGAAUAGCUGGAACGAAAAAGGUCAUGUUCUCAGAACUGUAAAGGGCUGGAUCUCUGGUGUCAAUCAUCUCAGUACCUGGGUCAAAAGAGCUGCCAGUUACCAGCUUAUGGCCUGACACAGCUCAGCUGUAUUGGAUAUAAACAUGUGCAUGGCAGAAAUAAGAAUGUGCCUCUAUUUCUUUUCUGCAAGAAUAAAGGAUGGCACAAAAAAACUCAAGGCAACCUGCAAAGCAAACAAAAUCCUUGAAUUUUACUUGCUAUUUGUUAGUAUUUAACCAUGCAAUCUUCUACUUACAAGAAUAUUUCUGGGAAGAGAAGACUGAAAUCUGUACACUGUGUUUGCAUGACUACUUGCACAUUACUUUGUGUUCUCAGUGUGGUUCAAAUCAUGCAGUGAGCCACAAGUGGAUACUGUAUAGGUUGGGAGAAUGGACAUGAAGUGGUUGGUGACUGAAUUGGCUGCCUUAAAAUUGUCAAUUAACUCAUGCUACCAGAAGUUCAAGUAGUGGAAAAGAAGUUCACUUCUAAACUCAGUCUGAUGUAUUUUUUUUAAAGCAGAAAUUCUAGGAAAAAGUUCAGUGAAGUUCUGUUGUCACAGGCAAUUUCUUACAUAAGAUCUCAAGAUGUUUUGUAAAAUCAAUUAGAACCAUGACUUCGUAGAUGAGCGUGCUCAAAAAAUCUGAACUGCAACUUUUGCAAAUCCAUUUAUGCUCCAUAUCCUUCCCAAUGCAGUUGAUCACUUUUCAGGAUUAGUUCCACUGAAUUAAACAGAAUCAAUUAUAGAAUAAGGAAGUACAGUGUCAUGCAGAGACCUGGGUAAGAUAACGUUGUAGAUGUGUCAAUCGGUUGUGUUUUGCUAAGUAAUGCAAAUGUAAGGGGAUGUGGGUUUGCUGAUUGGAUCCUCCUACACUUGCUAUUUGCUAUCAAAUCUUUUUGUGCUGUCCACACUCCUUGCAAAAGCACCUGUAACAGUAACAUUACAAACCUGCUAGUACUUUGUCAUCUCCCAUUGCUUCCCAGCUUUAAGAACUGAGCUUACAUUUUCCCAAAGCUAAAUCUGAAGGAGGAUGGGCCUCUUGCUUUACCUGGUCAUAAAAUAUCUGUGCCCAAGAAUGAUGCAAAAGCUCUGGGAAAAAAAUCUUUACCUGCUUCGUUGAGAUUCCCAGAGUCUGAUUUGCUCACACUUUCUUGCAGACAUGAAAAGGAAACCUAAAAACAUGGCUGUGUUGUCCUCAAUCGGAGACGUGAAAAUGAUUUCCCAAGAGAUAACCUACGAGAAAUCAGUAACUUUUGUGCAAGUAGGACAAAAUUUUGCUAUAUGAAAAGCAUACUGGAGACUUGAAAGACUAUAGGCUUCCUAUAGUACCACCUAAUCUGCACAAAGAGGCAGUCAUGCAACACUUCUACAGUUACACUGUUGCCUUCUCUGUUGUUUGCGCUGUGUGGGCCCAGCUCUGCCCAUAGCUGUGUGGUGCUGUCCUUCCUUCUUAGAUCCUGUGCAAGUGUGGGCAGCUGCUUAAGAUGAUCCAAAUGUUGCCUAGUAACAUUGAUGCACAAAAUAACUAUUUGAAUGUUCUCUACAGGGAUUGCUUCCUUAAGGCUUGCUAGACUCAGGGAACACUUAAAAUGUAUGUUUUAAAAAUGACUACAUCAAUAUGUUUAUCCACUCCUAACUUCUAAUGUAAGCUAACACUGAGAUUCUGGUAACUCUGAGGUUGGCCUUGUUAUCUACAAUCUGCUGCUCAGAUGGGCUCAGCAGUGACACUCACUGCAUUGUUAUCUGUGUAAGGGUAAAACGUUGGCUGUUUUUCAUGUUACUUAUUUGCAAAAUGUUUGAUCACUGACUUUGAUGUGAAUAUUCAAUUAUGCAGCAUAAUGGAUGAUUUUUU